AAUCAACGCUGGCGGCGUGCCUAACACAUGCAAGUCGAACGCGAAAGUCCCGCAAGGGAUUAGUAGAGUGGCAAACGGGUGAGUAACACGUGGGUGACCUGCCUUCGAGCGGGGAUAACAUCCCGAAAGGGAUGCUAAUACCGCAUGACAUCCUGCCUUUUAAGAGGUGGAGAUCAAAGCCGGGGAUCGCAAGACCUGGCACUCGAAGAGGGGCCCGCGCCCGAUUAGCNGGUUGGUGAGGUAACGGCUCACCAAGGCAACGAUCGGUAGCCGGCCUGAGAGGGCGGACGGCCACACUGGGACUGAGACACGGCCCAGACUCCUACGGGAGGCAGCAGUGGGGGAAUUGUUCGCAAUGGGCGCAAGCCUGACGACGCAACGCCGCGUGGAGGAUGAAGACCU
rnacentral:rRNA from 1 species